rnacentral:misc_RNA from 1 species
AAAAUUACGAUUCGAAGCAGACUGGUUGGCCCUUUUAAGUAUAUAUAUGAUAUUUUUUGUUUGAAAUAUUCUCAUUUUAAGGAUGAAUUAGAUUACGAUUUUUUUUAAUUUUUUGAUAUAUCGGAUGCUUUUUGCCAGAAUUUUCUUGCCAGUGCCAGCUACAUAUAUUUUCUACAAUGCAGAAUAAUAUUUCCAUCUUUGAAAUCUUCACUGCUUACCGAUAAUCUGCCACCCUUUAUUGCCAGAAAAAAAAUCUGUCGAACUUUGUAGAACAUUUCUAAAAUGUCGAGCUAAAUUUUUACGUUUUGAAUUGUUAUCUGAUUGUAACAUUUGUUUUGGGGGGAAUUUCCCGAAUGAGGAAAUGCUACGAAAUCCAUUGACGUGUUGUUUAGACUGUUAGCGAUUAAUGAGUUAGCCAUGACCCCUUCCACGCGCCGAAAGUACGUGGAAAACACAGACCCUGGGCAAGAAUACUCACAUUAAGAUUCAAUCUUAUGAAGGUUUUUUUUUUUUUGAAUGUCGUUUAUAUAUAUUUACAAUGCUUUAUUUAUUACGUGCUUUAAUAUAUGAUAUAAUAAAAUAAAAGUUUAUGAU